GUCUUUUCGCCUCUGCAAUCAAGCUCUCCCAAUAAACGUGUGCAGAAGGAUCCUGUUGCAGCGUCGUUCUUGCUGGUCGAGUCGAGCGCGCGCAAGACACCUGCCUCUGCCUCCCAAAUGCUGGGAUUAAAGGGGUGUGCCACCACCGCCUGGCUUGGGGAUUGACUCUUAUUCCUCAUGGAGAAACUGCAGCAAGGACACAUUCAGGGAAAAGACAGAGGGAAGCGGAAAGCUGUCCUUGGCUUCCUGGCUACCUUCCUAAGGACGGCGCAGAGUACGCCAUCGACUCCAUGAUGUCAUCACAUUUGCAGCUAUGACUCCUUUCGGCAGGAGCAUUUCCUGUCUGUCCGAGAAACUUACUUCACUUUUAAAUUAUUUCCCCCCUCUUAUUUCCUUUCAGCCACAGUUGUGAGGCAUCAACAAUGGAUAAGCAGACCGUCUUCUUCUUCUGAACAUUAAAUAUCUCAUGGUUUUAUAUUUGAAGAACGAACACGGGUCAAGAUUCCAGGCAGUUAGCUGGAGGUGUGUGCAUAUGCCAUCCCAGAGAGCACUCGGGAGGUGGCGGUAUAACGUUUAGGUUAUUUCAAAAUCCUUUCACCCUUUUCUCCCUAUAUAUAAAGGAAUUGCGCUAUUAAAUUCUAAACUGGUAUGGAUGGCGUUCCAUUGAACUAAGUCCAUUACUUAGUAUCUCUACCCCAAUAUUCGUCUCUACUUUUGAGUGAUGGUUGUCAGGCUACAGGGUGGGCAAACUCUGGAUGGAGAAGACAGUGUGACGAAGGAGGAAAGGGAGGCCACCCCAGCUCUUCUAAGGCUCAUCUAAGAAGCCCUGGGAGGCAAGAAUUUGAAUUCUGUGAUUCUAUAACAAGGGCUGAGAUCAGCCUUUCUGUGUGUCUAAACAAGAGAUAAAUUAUUGUUAACUUAAAAUAGAAUGUGGUGAUUUAGCAUGGCUUUAAUUGGAUUAGGGCUAUAAAAGUACCUUUUGCUACUAAAAAAAGAAAUUCAAAAUUUGAAAAUGGAGGUUAUACAGCUGCGUAGGGCAAAAGAGCGGUGUUUUGAAAGGUUGUCAUUCCCACAAUAGAAGCCGAUUUUAUAUUCCUAAUGAGGCAUGGGAGACAAAAAUCUAUUCUUGAAACGUUCCGGCUCUCUCCAGUGUUCUCUAUUUAAUUAGAAUCACUCCUUACCCUAAGCUCCCCAGCUAGCCAUCUAAUAGCCAUUAGCAGAAUUUAUUUACUGUUUAACUUGCUACUUAAAGUUUAGGCUUCCGUCCAAGGCUUUAGGCAGGUAACCAAGAGAUUCAGCCUUUCAAGUAAAAUCCGUGCCUCAUCUUCUUAAGAUGUGUAUGAGAAUUCCCUUGGAAGAAAAAAAAAGAGAGAGAGAGAGAAUAAAUGCACACAUAAAUUCAAAGGAGACGUUUUGCAGGGAGGAGACAAGUCAGGUGAUUGGAAAGAGAAGCAGAGAAUAACACGCCCACCCCAGUGCACCUGCCAAUCUGUUGAACUUGAAAGUUUAUGCAGAUCUUUUUUUUUUUUCUUUUGCAAGGAAAGGACAUUCAUUACAUGAACCAUGGGGUUUAAUAGUAUAUCAGGCAAGUAAAUGUAUGCAAAAAUAAAAAUAAAAAUAGAUCUGCCACACUC
rnacentral:lncRNA from 1 species